rnacentral:sRNA from 1 species
AAACAGUAGCCCAAGACUUCACCUCCAGGAAAACUCUUUGGACACCAAACUUUAACAUAGAUCCUUGAAGUGAAGGAAGGAGGUUACGAAGCACAUUUGGGAAAUCAGGAAUGUGAACACAAAUGCACUUCCCCUGGAGGAAACUCACUAUGGAGAAGAAACUUCCUAUGAAGAGAAAACUGCUGAAAAAGAAAUCCCAGGUACAUCAGCAAAACAGUCUGAUGAAAAUGGGGAGGCUGCCUAUGAUCUGCCAGCUGAGGACUGGAUAGUUGCAAACAAAGAUCUGAUUGACAAGACGAAGUUCACCAUCACAGGUCUGCCAACAGAUGCAAAGAUCUUUGUGCGUGUGAAGGCUGUUAAUGCAGCUGGUGCCAGCGAGCCCAAGUACUAUUCUCAGCCCAUUCUCGUGAAGGAAAUCAUAGAACCUCCAAAGAUUCGCAUCCCAAGACACCUGAAGCAAACCUAUAUCCGCAGAGUUGGAGAAGCUGUCAAUCUGGUUAUACCUUUCCAGGGAAAACCAAGACCAGAAUUAACUUGGAAGAAGGAUGGUGCAGAAAUUGAUAAGAAUC